rnacentral:rRNA from 1 species
GACGAACGCUGGCGGCGUGCUUAACACAUGCAAGUCGAGCGGUAAGGCCCUUUCGGGGGUACGACGAGCGGCGAACGGGUGAGUAACACGUGGGUGACCUGCCCUCAGCUCUGGGAUAAGCCUGGGAAACCGGGUCUAAUACUGGAUAUGACUCCAUGACGCAUGUUGUGGGGUGGAAAGCCUUGUGCGGCUGAGGAUGGGCCCGCGGCCUAUCAGCUUGUUGGUGGGGUGAUGGCCUACCAAGGCGACGACGGGUAGCCGGCCUGAGAGGGCGACCGGCCACACUGGGACUGAGACACGGCCCAGACUCCUACGGGAGGCAGCAGUGGGGAAUCUUGCGCAAUGAGCGAAAGCCUGACGCAGCGACGCCGCGUGAGGGAUGACGGCCUGG